GAUGAACGCUGGCGGCGUGCCUAACACAUGCAAGUCGAACGAGAAGCUGACCUUUGAUUCCUUCGGGAUGAUGAGGUUGGCAGAGAGUGGCGAACGGGUGAGUAACGCGUGGGUAAUCUACCCUAAAGUGGGGGAUAACCCUCCGAAAGGAGGGUUAAUACCGCAUAAUAUCUUCUCCUCCCAAGAGGUAAAGAUUAAAGGUGGCCUCUAUUUAUAAGCUAUCACUUUAGGAUGAGCCCGCGUCCUAUUAGUUAGUUGGUGGGGUAAUGGCCUACCAAGACCACAAUGGGUAGCCGGUCUGAGAGGAUGUACGGCCACACUGGGACUGAGAUACGGCCCAGACUCCUACGGGAGGCAGCAGUGGGGAAUAUUGCGCAAUGGGGGAAACCCUGACGCAGCGACGCCGCGUGGACGAUGAAGGCCUUCGGGUUGUAAAGUCCUGUUCUGGGGGAAGAAACCUUAAGGGUCCAAUAAACCCUUAAGCUGACGGUACCCCAAGAGAA
rnacentral:rRNA from 1 species